CAUGUGACACACAUUGUUGUGGGCCAUUAACAUAUUGUGGACAAUUUUGCCCUUAAUGAAAAUGACACUUGUGGAUGAGUGAUUUGUGGACGAGUGAUGCGUGGUUGGGUGAUUUGUGGACGGGUGAAUUGUAGACGGGUGAUGAGUAAUGUGUGGAUAUGUGUUGUUAAUGUGUUUAUAGUAGAUAACGUGGACAAACUCUUUGUUUUGAUUCCAUAAAACUAUACAACAAUACGUGGACAUGGACUCAUGUUACUAAAAUUAUACCUUAAAACGUGGACACAGACUCUGUUAUCUCCAAUACAAACACUUGGCUUCUUCAGCUCAAUUGAUAAAUUAUCUGCAGUUAAAAUUCAAUCAAGAUGAGAAAGAGAUGAUAUUGUGAGUAUGAGCGGAGAGAAAAAUCGAAGAAUCGUUUACCUUUUGUCGGAGAGUAAUAGAUCUUGCAUGUCAGAGAUUUCUGAUCUAAGAAAUUUGCGCUUUGUCAUGAUGUGGAUGGAUGUAAUUUUGAUUAGAGUUGAAUUUAGAUCUUGAGAUGAUGAAUGGAAUCGAAGAAAUAUUGUCCAUGUCCACAACUAGUUUAUAAUUCUGUUAAAAUGUUCAUGUCCACAACUAAUUUAUAAUUCUGUUAUCCACGCUUUGGUGUCCACGUCCACAUUUUGUUUACACAUUAAUAUGUAUAAUAUAUAUAUAUAAACAUGAAUCUUAAAAGAUAGAGAAUUUUAUAUAUAGUUUAUUAUGACAAUUAUUUUUGUUAAUAUUUUAGAACUUGAAAUAAAAGUAAAUAAAUACAUAAAGUAGAAUAAGAAAAAUAAUAAAAUGAAAUAAGAAGAGGAGAUAAAUUCUCUUAAUUUACUUUAGGGUCAUAAGAGUCUUUUUGACAAAAAAAAAUGUGUCUCAAGUGAUAAGUGUCUUGUAGUGUAAUUUGAAUCUGAUAAAAUGUCUCUAGAUGUAAAAAAAAAUUUUUAGGACUCCAUAAUUCCAAAAAUCUGGUGUAGCAUAGUGGUUUUAGGCAAAAAAAUUAGUUAGCAUGCUAUAUUAUCAUGAGAAGUUCGAACCUCCAAAAUUGCUUUUCAAUACUUUUGUCAGAAAAAGUUAAUUUUGUUUUAUUGUCAACUUUCCAAAAUUAAAAAGGAACAUCUCUUUCGUUUUAUCAAAAUUCCUAAAUAGAAAGAGAAUAAAAAUCGCAACUACUUUAUACAUUAUCAUCUAUAUAUAUUCUUAUGUUGUAUGUAUAACUUAUUUCUCAUGCAUUAUCCCACCAUCUUUCUUCUUGGUUCCUUGUUGUGUGCUUCUGUCAACAAGCAGAGUAUCUCUUUUUAUUUAAUCAUCACCGUCUCUUCUUGUAUUAAGACCGGACAAUGAUCAUAAGACGGGGGAAAGGAUGACGUGGGAACUCAAAAUGUCAAGAAGAAAUGAAUGAAGGCAAAGCUGUCUUAGUUAUUAGGUCUCUAUCAAAGAGCAAGUUGGGGUUCCAUCCAGCCACAUCAAAUGUUCCAAUUAAUGUACACAUCAUUAGAUUUUAGCCCCACCAUCUAUAUAUCAUGUAUAUGUAUCUUUUUCUGAUAAACUGGGUAUCCGGCGGGGCGAAGCCAAACUAA